UUGGAGCACCUUUUGUUUCCUCGGCGGGUUCGCCCGCCAGCGAGGACCCCCAUGAACUCUUUGUAAUAGCAAUUUUUGUCUGAAAUACAAACAAUAAUCAAAACUUUCAACAAUGGAUCUCUUGGUUCUGGCAUCGAUGAAGAACGCAGCGAAAUGCGAUAAGUAGUGUGAAUUGCAGAAUUCAGUGAAUCAUCGAAUCUUUGAACGCACAUUGCGCCCCUCGGUAUUCCGUGGGGCAUGCCUGUUCGAGCGUCAUUUAAACCCUCAAGCUCAGCUUGGUGUUGGGUGCUUGUCCCGCCUCCGCGCGGCGACUCACCUCAAAGUCAGUGGCAGCCCGCAUCAGCCGGCCGUGAGCGCAGCACAGUCGCGCCUAGGCCCCGGCAGGUCGGCUCUCCAGAAGCACAUCUUCUUAUUUGACCUCGG
rnacentral:rRNA from 1 species